rnacentral:rRNA from 1 species
GUAACGGCGAGCGAAGUGGGAAGAGCUCGAGCCUGAAAUCACUGGCAGCCACUGCCAGAGAAUUGUGGCCGGGAGAGGCAGCGGUGCCCGGACUGACGCUGUCGAAGUUGACCUGGAAAGGCACGUCAGAGAGGGUGAGAGCCCCGUGUGCGACACUGUCGGGAUGGGCCGCUACUGUCUUCGGAGAGUCGGGUUGUUUGGGAAUGCAGCCCAAAGUGGGUGGUAAACUCCAUCUAAAGCUAAAUACUGGCACGAGACCGAUAGCGAACAAGUACCAUGAGGGAAAGGUGAAAAGUACUUUGAAAAGAGAGUCAAAAAGACCGCAAAACCGUUAGGAGGGAAACGAAUGCAGCUGAAGUAGCUCCCCUUCAGGCUCAGGAAGUGUCGAAUCUGCUUGCUGGCCGCUGGAAGCCGAUAGGCGCCAGCGGUUGGACGGCUAGUCGACUGCUCUGCACUCCUGGGGGGAGCUGGCCAACAACAGUUGCCUCUGGCUCACGAGGGCGGUUGGGCAGGUAGCCUCCUCGCUCGAGGUGGAACUUAUAGCCAUCCGUCUGGCAGUCUGGAGACGACUGAGGGAGAGAUGUGAACUUUCACACUUGCAGCGCAGGCCCUUCUGGGCCGGGCCACCUCUUUCCGUUUGGGCACCGCUCCGGGGACUGCUUGCAGUGUCCGCUGACGAAUGUUCUGCUCGGUGGGGGGAAUGGUCACGCCUUGCGCUGCAGUUGUUGGUGUCCAAAUGGCUGCAUCCGACCCGUCUUGAAACACGGACCAAGGAGUGCAACAUGCGUGCGAGUCUUGGGGUGGCAAACCCAUCGGCGCAAUGAAGGUGAAGGCAGAUUUUGGUCUGCUCAGGCAGGAGCCUCCCUGGAGGCACACUGUCGACCGAUCCCAGGCUACGCUGUGGCGGGAUUUGAGUAAGAGCGUGCCUGUUGCGACCCGAAAGAUGGUGAACUAUGCCUGAAUAGGGUGAAGCCAGAGGAAACUCUGGUGGAAGCUCGUAGCGAUUCUGACGUGCAAAUCGAUCGUCAAAUUUGGGUAUAGGGGC